UGACUGCGUACCUUUUGUAUAAUGGGUCAGCGACUUAUAUUCUGUAGCAAGGUUAACCGAAUAGGGGAGCCGGAGGGAAACCGAGUCUUAAUUGGGCGUUAAGUUGCAGGGUAUAGACCCGAAACCCGGUGAUCUAGCCAUGGGCAGGUUGAAGGUUGGGUAACACUAACUGGAGGACCGAACCGACUAAUGUUGAAAAAUUAGCGGAUGACCUGUGGCUGGGGGUGAAAGGCCAAUCAAACCGGGAGAUAGCUGGUUCUCCCCGAAAGCUAUUUAGGUAGCGCCUCGUGAAUUCAUCUCCGGGGGUAGAGCACUGUUUCGGCUAGGGGGCCAUCCCGGCUUACCAACCCGAUGCAAACUGCGAAUACCGGAGAAUGUUAUCACGGGAGACACACGGCGGGUGCUAACGUCCGUCGUGAAGAGGGAAACAACCCAGACCGCCAGCUAAGGUCCCAAAGUCAUGGUUAAGUGGGAAACGAUGUGGGAAGGCCCAGACAGCCAGGAUGUUGGCUUAGAAGCAGCCAUCAUUUAAAGAAAGCGUAAUAGCUCACUGGUCGAGUCGGCCUGCGCGGAAGAUGUAACGGGGCUAAACCAUGCACCGAAGCUGCGGCAGCGACGCUUAUGCGUUGUUGGGUAGGGGAGCGUUCUGUAAGCCUGUGAAGGUGGCCUGUGAGGGUUGCUGGAGGUAUCAGAAGUGCGAAUGCUGACAUAAGUAACGAUAAAGCGGGUGAAAAGCCCGCUCGCCGGAAGACCAAGGGUUCCUGUCCAACGUUAAUCGGGGCAGGGUGAGUCGACCCCUAAGGCGAGGCCGAAAGGCGUAGUCGAUGGGAAACGGGUUAAUAUUCCCGUACUUGGUGUUACUGCGAAGGGGGGACGGAGAAGGCUAUGUUGGCCGGGCGACGGUUGUCCCGGUUUAAGCGUGUAGGUGUGUGUUCCAGGUAAAUCCGGUUCACUUUAACACUGAGGCGUGAUGACGAGGCACUACGGUGCUGAAGCAACAAAUGCCCUGCUUCCAGGAAAAGCCUCUAAGCAUCAGGUAACAUCAAAUCGUACCCCAAACCGACACAGGUGGUCAGGUAGAGAAUACCAAGGCGCUUGAGAGAACUCGGGUGAAGGAACUAGGCAAAAUGGUGCCGUAACUUCGGGAGAAGGCACGCUGACAUGUAGGUGAAGUGAUUUACUCAUGGAGCUGAAGUCAGUCGAAGAUACCAGCUGGCUGCAACUGUUUAUUAAAAACACAGCACUGUGCAAACACGAAAGUGGACGUAUACGGUGUGACGCCUGCCCGGUGCCGGAAGGUUAAUUGAUGGGGUCAGCGCAAGCGAAGCUCCUGAUCGAAGCCCCGGUAAACGGCGGCCGUAACUAUAACGGUCCUAAGGUAGCGAAAUUCCUUGUCGGGUAAGUUCCGACCUGCACGAAUGGCGUAAUGAUGGCCAGGCUGUCUCCACCCGAGACUCAGUGAAAUUGAACUCGCUGUGAAGAUGCAGUGUACCCGCGGCAAGACGGAAAGACCCCGUGAACCUUUACUAUAGCUUGACACUGAACAUUGAGCCUUGAUGUGUAGGAUAGGUGGGAGGCUUUGAAGCGUGGACGCCAGUCUGCGUGGAGCCGACCUUGAAAUACCACCCUUUAAUGUUUGAUGUUCUAACGUGGACCCGUGAUCCGGGUUGCGGACAGUGUCUGGUGGGUAGUUUGACUGGGGCGGUCUCCUCCUAAAGAGUAACGGAGGAGCACGAAGGUUGGCUAAUCCUGGUCGGACAUCAGGAGGUUAGUGCAAUGGCAUAAGCCAGCUUGACUGCGAGCGUGACGGCGCGAGCAGGUGCGAAAGCAGGUCAUAGUGAUCCGGUGGUUCUGAAUGGAAGGGCCAUCGCUCAACGGAUAAAAGGUACUCCGGGGAUAACAGGCUGAUACCGCCCAAGAGUUCAUAUCGACGGCGGUGUUUGGCACCUCGAUGUCGGCUCAUCACAUCCUGGGGCUGAAGUAGGUCCCAAGGGUAUGGCUGUUCGCCAUUUAAAGUGGUACGCGAGCUGGGUUUAGAACGUCGUGAGACAGUUCGGUCCCUAUCUGCCGUGGGCGCUGGAGAACUGAGGGGGGCUGCUCCUAGUACGAGAGGACCGGAGUGGACGCAUCACUGGUGUUCGGGUUGUCAUGCCAAUGGCACUGCCCGGUAGCUAAAUGCGGAAGAGAUAAGUGCUGAAAGCAUCUAAGCACGAAACUUGCCCCGAGAUGAGUUCU
rnacentral:rRNA from 1 species